GCAAAUCACUGCUUAUGAAAUCUACUGUGUUAUCUAAUAGCACCAAACUAAUAGAGCUAUCACAUAACUGAGAAACUUGUGUGGCUUAUUACAAAUGGAUGAAACCACAUUUUACCUUAAUGAAGACAGUAAUAUUUAAUAAGGUGUAGAAAAAAGAGGUGAGUUGUUUGUUGCUGUGGUAAACAAAGAAGUGUACUGAAUCUUUUGGACUACACAGAGUGAUGCAGUAUUGACUCUGAUGCUGAUUUGAGUUGUCUCAUUCUGUAUUUUUGUGCUUUGUCUUUUGUUACACAGAGUGAACGAGAUCUUUGGUUUUGCCUUUGCUGACUGCUGAUCUGAUCGUCUCAAGUCUGGUGACCUGCUGCAGAAUACCCUCUCCCUCUAUCAUUAACAAGCAAUUCAGUCUGUCCUAUCACUCUCCCUCUCCCUGCUCCAUCUUUUUGACAAGCCAUUCUAUCUUCUAUCAUUUCUCCGCCAUGAGCUCUAUCUAAGUUGACAAGCUUGAACCUGAGUUGAAACGCAAUCCUGUGACUUGAAAUCAAGUUUUACCAGAAUCUAAGUUUUUGGAAUUGAAGUUACCAGAACUUCGUCGAUCUGUUUUCAGAAUUCUGAGAGAUCUCUGCUCUCACUGCUCCAUCUUUCCUGUCGUUAAACUCUCUCACAUCCAGUCAUUUUGCUGGAAAUCACAAGUAGAAACUUGAAAUUACAGUAGUAGAAUUACACUACAGUAGAACUCACAGUAGAAACUACUUACACAGUCCUACAUUUGUCAUUUUAAUUUUUACAUUACACUUUGGAAUAAACACUGAUAGCUUGGCUUACGUGUGCAGUUACUUUGAUAAAUUAUAUAAAAUACACACCUUUU
ensembl:lncRNA